rnacentral:rRNA from 1 species
GCGUGUGUGAAGAAGGCCUUAGGGUUGUAAAGCACUUUCACCCGUGAAGAUGAUGACGGUAGCGGGAGAAGAAGCCCCGGCUAACUCCGUGCCAGCAGCCGCGGUAAUACGGAGGGGGCUAGCGUUGUUCGGAAUUACUGGGCGUAAAGCGCGCGUAGGCGGCGCAUCGAGUUAGGCGUGAAAGGCCUGGGCUUAACCUGGGAACUGCGCUUAAUACUGGUGUGCUUGAGUCCGGAAGGGGGUGGCGGAAUUCCCAGUGUAGAGGUGAAAUUCGU